CCUGCCUUUAAGACGAGGAUAACAAUUGGAAACAGUUGCUAAGACUGGAUAGGAAAUUAAAAGGCAUCUUUUAAUUUUUAAAAGACCUUUUUCGGAAGGUAUACUUAAAGAGGGGCUUGCGCCACAUUAGUUAGUUGGUAAGGUAAAGGCUUACCAAGACGAUGAUGUGUAGCUGGACUGAGAGGUCGAACAGCCACAUUGGGACUGAGACACGGCCCAAACUCCUACGGGAGGCAGCAGUAAGGAAUUUUUGGCAAUGGAGGAAACUCUGACCGAGCGACGUCGCGUGAACAAUGAAGUACUUCGGUAUGUAAAGUUCUUUUAUUGAAAAAGAAAAAAUAGUGGAAAAACUAUCUUGACAUUAUUCAAUGAAUAAGCCCCGGCUAAUUAUGUGCCAGCAGCCGCGGUAAUACAUAAGGGGCGAGCGUUAUCCGGAAUUAUUGGGCGUAAAGGGUGCGUAGGCGGUUUGAUAAGUCUAUAGUUUAAAUGCAGUGCUUAACGCUGUAGCGCUAUAGAAACUGUCUGACUAGAGUUAGAUAGAGGCAAGCGGAAUUCCAUGUGUAGCGGUAAAAUGCGUAAAUAUAUGGAGGAACACCAGAGGCGUAGGCGGCUUGCUGGGUCUUAACUGACGCUGAGGCACGAAAGCGUGGGGAGCAAACAGGAUUAGAUACCCUGGUAGUCCACGCCGUAAACGAUGAGUACUAAGUGUCGGGUUUCGGCUCGGUACUGAAGUUAACACAUUAAGUACUCCGCCUGAGUAGUACGUACGCAAGUAUGAAACUUAAAGGAAUUGACGGGACCCCGCACAAGCGGUGGAUCAUGUUGUUUAAUUCGAAGAUACACGAAAAACCUUACCAGGUCUUGACAUAAUUUUGCGACAUUAUAGAAAUAUAAUGAAGGUUAUCAGAAUUACAGGUGGUGCAUGGUUGUCGUCAGCUCGUGUCGUGAGAUGUUAGGUUAAGUCCUAAAACGAGCGCAACCCUUGUCGUUAGUUGCGACCACGUAAUGGUGAGCACUUUAGCGAGACUGCCAAUGAAAAAUUGGAGGAAGGUGAGGAUUACGUCAAAUCAUCAUGCCCCUUAUGAUCUGGGCUACAAACGUGAUACAAUGGCUGUUACAAAGAGUAGCUACAACGUGAGUUUUUAGCCAAUCUCAAAAAAACAGUCUCAGUUCGGAUUGAAGUCUGCAACUCGACUUCAUGAAGUUGGAAUCGCUAGUAAUCGCGAAUCAGCAUGUCGCGGUGAAUACGUUCUCGGGGUUUGUACACACCGCCCGUCAAACCACAAAGUUGAUAAUACCCGAAAGCGGUCGCCUAACUUC
rnacentral:rRNA from 1 species